rnacentral:tRNA from 1 species
CCCUGGUGGCUCAAAUGGUAAAGAGUUUGCCUGUAAUGCAGGAGACCCAGGUUCAGUUCCUGGGUCAGGAA